rnacentral:rRNA from 1 species
AAUGAACGCUGGCGGCAGGCUUAACACAUGCAAGUCGAGCGGGGUGAUGGUGCUUGCACUAUCACUUAGCGGCGGACGGGUGAGUAAUGCUUAGGAAUCUGCCUAUUAGUGGGGGACAACAUCUCGAAAGGGAUGCUAAUACCGCAUACGUCCUACGGGAGAAAGCAGGGGAUCACUUGUGACCUUGCGCUAAUAGAUGAGCCUAAGUCGGAUUAGCUAGUUGGUGGGGUAAAGGCCUACCAAGGCGACGAUCUGUAGCGGGUCUGAGAGGAUGAUCCGCAACACUGGGACUGAGACGCGGCCCAGACUCCUACGGGAGGCAGCAGUGGGGAAUAUUGGACAAUGGGGGGAACCCUGAUCCAGCCAUGCCGAGUGUGUGAAGAAGGCCUUAUGGUUGUAAAGCACUUUAAGCGAGGAGGAGGCUCUUUUGGUUAAUACCCAAGAUGAGUGGACGUUACUCGCAGAAUAAGCACCGGCUAACUCUGUGCCAGCCGCCGCGGUAA